rnacentral:misc_RNA from 1 species
UCAACCCUCGAACCUCCGUUUCCUCAGGGAAGCCCAGGGUCGGUGUUGGGGCGCUACGGCGAGUCCUCGCGACCCCCGUAGGCCCUGAAAUACAGUGGCGGUCCCGCCGCGGUUGCCUUCUGCGUAGUAAGUCUCUUUUGCAAGCUCGCAUUGGGUCCCGGCGGAGGCCUGCCGUCAAACCACCUAACAACUCCAGAUGG